rnacentral:rRNA from 1 species
GGGCUCACACAAGCGGUGGAUCAUGUGGCUUAAUUCGAUAACAAACGAGUAACCUUACCUGGCUAAGACGCCCGACGACGUCUCCGUGAAAGCGGAGUUUCCCACAAGGACGGCGGGACAGGUGCUGCAUGGUUGUCGUCAGCAGGUGUCGUAAGAUGCACGCUUAGAUGCCGUAACCUGCGCAACCCUUAUCGUAUGUUUUACUUGUCAUACGAAACUGCCGGGGACAACCCGGAGGAAGGCGAGGAUGACGCCAAAUCAGCAUGGCCUUUGACAGCCAGGGCCGCACACGUGAUACAAUGGCCGUUACAAAGGGAAGCCAAGCCGCAAGGCGGAGCUAAUCCCAUCAAAAACGGCCCCAGUUCGGAUUGAGGUCUGCAAUUCGACCUCAUGAAGCCGGAAUCGCUAGUAAACGUGAAUCAUCACGUCACGUUGAAUAUGUUCCUGAGCCUU